GACAUACUCCCUCCGUUCGGAAUUACUCAUCCAAGAAAUGAAUGUAUCUAGAUGUAUUUUAGUUGUAGAUACAUCCAUUUUUGUGACAAGUAAUUCCGAAUGGAGGGAGUAGAUG
rnacentral:pre_miRNA from 1 species